UAGGAUGUUGGCUUAGAAGCAGCCAUCAUUUAAAGAGUGCGUAAUAGCUCACUAGUCGAGUGACACUGCGCCGAAAAUGUACCGGGGCUAAACAUAUUACCGAAGCUGUGGAUUGUCCUUUGGACAAUGGUAGGAGAGCGUUCUAAGGGCGUCGAAGCAUGAUCGCAAGGACAUGUGGAGCGCUUAGAAGUGAGAAUGCCGGUGUGAGUAGCGAAAGACGGGUGAGAAUCCCGUCCACCGAUUGACUAAGGUUUCCAGAGGAAGGCUCGUCCGCUCUGGGUUAGUCGGGUCCUAAGCUGAGGCCGACAGGCGUAGGCGAUGGAUAACAGGUUGAUAUUCCUGUACCACCUAGUAUCGUUUUAAUCGAUGGGGGGACGCAGUAGGAUAGGCGAAGCGUGCUGUUGGAGUGCACGUCCAAGCAGUAAGGCUGAGUGUUAGGCAAAUCCGGCACUCAUAAGGCUGAGCUGUGAUGGGGAGAGGAAAUUGUUUCCUCGAGUCGUUGAUUUCACACUGCCGAGAAAAGCCUCUAGAUAGAUAACAGGUGCCCGUACCGCAAACCGACACAGGUAGUCAAGAUGAGAAUUCUAAGGUGAGCGAGCGAACUCUCGUUAAGGAACUCGGCAAAAUGACCCCGUAACUUCGGGAGAAGGGGUGCUCUUUAGGGUUCACGCCCAGAAGAGCCGCAGUGAAUAGGCCCAAGCGACUGUUUAUCAAAAACACAGGUCUCUGCUAAACCGUAAGGUGAUGUAUAGGGGCUGACGCCUGCCCGGUGCUGGAAGGUUAAGAGGAGUGGUUAGCUUCUGCGAAGCUACGAAUCGAAGCCCCAGUAAACGGCGGCCGUAACUAUAACGGUCCUAAGGUAGCGAAAUUCCUUGUCGGGUAAGUUCCGACCCGCACGAAAGGCGUAACGAUUUGGGCACUGUCUCAACGAGAGACUCGGUGAAAUCAUAGUACCUGUGAAGAUGCAGGUUACCCGCGACAGGACGGAAAGACCCCGUGGAGCUUUACUGUAGCCUGAUAUUGAAAUUCGGCACAGCUUGUACAGGAUAGGUAGGAGCCUUUGAAACGUGAGCGCUAGCUUACGUGGAGGCGUUGGUGGGAUACUACCCUAGCUGUGUUGGCUUUCUAACCCGCACCACUUAUCGUGGUGGGAGACAGUGUCAGGCGGGCAGUUUGACUGGGGCGGUCGCCUCCUAAAAGGUAACGGAGGCGCUCAAAGGUUCCCUCAGAAUGGUUGGAAAUCAUUCAUAGAGUGUAAAGGCAUAAGGGAGCUUGACUGCGAGACCUACAAGUCGAGCAGGGUCGAAAGACGGACUUAGUGAUCCGGUGGUUCCGCAUGGAAGGGCCAUCGCUCAACGGAUAAAAGCUACCCCGGGGAUAACAGGCUUAUCUCCCCCAAGAGUUCACAUCGACGGGGAGGUUUGGCACCUCGAUGUCGGCUCAUCGCAUCCUGGGGCUGUAGUCGGUCCCAAGGGUUGGGCUGUUCGCCCAUUAAAGCGGUACGCUAGCUGGGUUCAGAACGUCGUGAGACAGUUCGGUCCCUAUCCGUCGUGGGCGUAGGAAAUUUGAGAGGAGCUGUCCUUAGUACGAGAGGACCGGGAUGGACAUACCUCUGGUGUACCAGUUGUCGUGCCAACGGCAUAGCUGGGUAGCUAUGUAUGGACGGGAUAAGUGCUGAAAGCAUCUAAGCAUGAAGCCCCCCUCAAGAUGAGAUUUCCCAACUUCGGUUAUAAGAUCCCUCGAAGAUGACGAGGUUAAUAGGUUCGAGGUGGAAGCGUGGUGACACGUGGAGCUGACGAAUACUAAUCGAUCGAAGACUUAAUCAAUUUUUAAA
rnacentral:rRNA from 1 species